rnacentral:lncRNA from 1 species
CAACGGCUCAUUUUCCCUUCCUCUCAGCCUCAACAACAACCAUUCUAUUCUCUGUUUCUGUGCUUCAUAUGUGUUUAAAUGCUUCAUAUAACUGAAAUCAUAGAGUAUUUACCUUCUGUGACUGGCUUACAUCAUUUAACAUAAUGUGGUUCAGGUACAUCCAUGACGUUACAUAUGGUAGUUUUGUUUCACUCUAAUGCUUCCCUUAACGUGCUUAGCCAGAGUACUUUGGUUAUAAACCGGAGUACUUUGUCUUCAACAAGAAGGGACUGUCUCAGAGACCCAGGAAAAGGUCUAUGCCAGGCAGUAUGGGGCACAGACUUCUGAGGAAUUGUUAAGAUAAUAUUGACAACAUACCAUGGACUGAGUCAAGCUAUCCAGUAAUCUAGUGAAGAAGCUGAUGAGUUCAUGAGACUGCCGGUUCAAACUCAGCAUGAUUUUAUCGUCUUUCAAGAAGGAGAGAAUGUAAAUAAAUUAGCUAACUUUGGAAUCUUGCAUUCUCAUUUGUUUAGUAGUUAUUUAAAUUCAUUAAAUUGCUUCAUAUAAGUAACCAUUAUUCUUGACGGUAAAAUUAAGUUUUUCUGUGCCUGGCUUAUUUCACUUAGCAUAAUGUCUUCCUUGGUCAUCCAUGUUAUUACAAAUGGUAAGAUGUUUUUCUUUUGCGAGACUGAUCUUAUUUUCUCAAGAUGACUGACUGGAAACAUCAGAUGCCAGUUCUCAGAAAGAUCAAAGUUACAACUGAAUGGUCAUGAUGUGAACAGAAAGCUAAAGGAAGAGAGCCGGGACUGUUGCAGAGCCCACAGGAAAAAGCUGGGACACAGAAAAGGAAGGUAGCAAGAGUCUGGCAGAGAUUGACCUCCGAGGAAUUUGAAGUCCCACAGAGGGAAUGCAGCAGAGGCUUUCUCCACUGCAGACUGUCACGAAUGCACUUGAAGACAGCCUUUCCAGUGCUAUUCACAGAAACUGCACCCCCGUUGAAAGUGAGCUUGUACCCCACUGGCAUGCAUGAUGGGCAGGGCCCAAUCUCCCCCUCCGUACAUAGAGGAGCAGCAUCGCAGCAACAGAAGGCAGUCAAGCCAUGAAGCCUGGUCUGGACUGGAAGAAGAAGCAUUGUCCUGGGGUCAUUUCAGUCCUGGGGUCAUUUCAAAAUAUUCUUCUGCCAGAAUAUUUUCUCUGACCUCAGUAACACUGUGGCCAGAGUCAAAGGACACUGUCUAUAUGAACUGAAGGUCAUGAGCUCUGUGACAGGGGCACAACAGGGAAGCAAAUCACAUUCCUCCCUGCCCAGGACUAGAGACAGAUGUAACCCCCCAACUUCUUCCCCCAAGACCUCAGUACAUCCCAACACAACUCUCCCUGCCUGCCCCCAUCAGGAUGGGUUGCCUCCACUUAUCAAAGGGCUACCAAAUGUUACUCUUAAGCGCCACCUACUGGAAUGGAGACUGCUGCAUCACUGAAUAAAAAUCCCUGCUGUCCGAAGAGCACAGGGUUAGUGCAUGAGAUAAGCUUCCUGAGACCGCUGCAUUCCCAGUCACGCAGGGCAUAGUGUAUUGGCUCAUAUGCCCAACACAUUGCUAAGGCAAGCAGCAUUUGAGAAAACCACCACACAUGAUUCCAUAUCUUUGUUACUGUGAAUGUGCUGCAAUGAACAUGGGAAUGCAGAUAACGCAUCAAAACACUGGUUUCACUUCUUUUGGAUAUAUACCCAGCAAUGAGGUUGCUGGAUCAUAUUUUUAAUUUUCUGGGGAACCUCCAUGCUGUUUUUUUAUAACGACUUUACCCAUUUACAUUCCCACCAAUAGUGAACAAGUGUUUUCUUUUCUCCACGUCUCCACCAACACUUAUUAUCUUUUGCUUUUUUGAUAAAAUACACUCUAAUACGUAUGAGGUGAUAUCUCAUUGCGGUUUUAAUUUACAUUUCCCUGAUGGUUAGUGAUGUUGAGAAUUUUUUCAUAUCUGCAUUGGCCAUUUGUAUGUCUUCUUUUAAGAAAUAUCUAAGUCUUUUGUCCAUUUUUAAUUCUGUUAUUUAUUUUCUUGCUAUUGAUUUGUUUAAGUUCCUUAUAGAUUUUGGAUAUUAACCCCUACCAGAUGUAGCAAACUGAAUUCAAUGGCACAUUAAAAGGAUGGUUCACUAUGAUCAGGUGGGAUUCAAGAAUGGAUCACCAUAUGCAAAUCAAUAAAUGUGAUACACCCCAUUAACAGAAUGAAGAACAAAAACCAUAUGAUCAUCUCAAUAGAUGUAGAAAUGCAUUUGACAAAAUUCAACAUUUUUUAUGAUAAAAACUCUCAACAAAUUAGUUAUAGAAGCAAUGUACCUCAACACCAUAAAGGUCGUGUAUCACAAGCCCACAUAACAUAAUAUGCAAUGGUGAAAAGUUAAAGCUUUUCCUCUAAGAUCAGGCACAGUAUAAGCAUGCCCAAUCUUGCCGUUUCUAUUCAACAUAAUAAUGGAAAUCCUAGCCAAAGUGAUUAGGAAAGAGAAACAAUAAAAAACAUCCAACUCAUAGAUAAGGGAGUUAAAUUGUUUCUGUUUACAGA